rnacentral:lncRNA from 1 species
GGUUGCCUGAGGAUAUGGCACUGGCUUAUUCUGAUCUUGAUAAGAAGCCGAGAAUGGGCGCUGGCGGUGGUGGUGGUGGUGGGCGUGGUCGCGGAAGAGGGUUACAUGGACCACCAGAUGGUGAUCGGAUGAGGCAUGGACCUCCGGAUGGUGAUAGGAUGAGGCAUGGACCUCCGGAUGGUGAUAGGAUGAGGCAUGGCCCCCCUGGACCGGGGCAGAGGCCGAUGUGGUUGAAUGAGAUAGAAGGAACAACGGCGAUGCUGAUUAAUACUUGUGAUGAAUUAGAACACGACUUUAUAGAGUAUAUUGGUACUCAAACUGGAAAGCCUGUGUGGGGGGUUGGUCCUCUUUUGCCUGAAGAAUACUGGAAGUCAGCUGGCUCUGUGAUUCGUGAUGGUAAAAUACGAUCCAGUGGCAGAAAAUCAAACUACACAGAAGAAGAAGUGAUCCAAUGGUUAGAUGGGAAGUCGGGAAAAUCUGUGAUUUAUAUUUCAUUUGGGAGUGAAGUUGGACCAAGCGGUGAAGAGUAUGAGCAGCUCACAACUGCUUUACAGGAGUCAGAUUGGUCGUUUAUAUGGGUGAUCCAGUCUAAUUCGGGCAAACCUGGUCGGCUUCUAGGAAUUCAGAAUGAUCAGGAGGGAGGAUACUACCCUGAUGGCUUGAAAGAAAAAGUUGGGGACAGAGGUUUGAUAAUUCAAGGAUGGGCACCCCAGUUGUUGAUUCUUAGUCACCCGUCAACAGGAGGUUUUCUAUCACACUGCGGUUGGAACUCGACAGUUGAGGCGAUUGGCUGCGGAGUUCCAU